CGGAGUGAGAGCGUACACAGGUGCUGCAUGGCUGUCGGUCAGCUCGUGUCGUGAGAUGUUGGGUUAAGUCCCGCAACGAGCGCAACCCCUGCAUUCAGUUGCCAUCGGUAAGGCCGGGCACUCUGGAUGGACUGCCGGCGACAAGCCGGAGGAAGGUGGGGACGACGUCAAGUCAUCAUGGCCCUUAUGUCCAGGGCGACACACGUGCUACAAUGGCCGGCACAACGGGAAGCGAGUUCGCGAGGACGAGCGGAUCCCUUAAAGCCGGUCGCAGUUCGGAUUGAAGUCUGCAACUCGACUUCAUGAAGCUGGAAUCGCUAGUAAUCGUGGAUCAGCCAAGCCGCGGUGAAUACGUUCCCGGGCCUU
rnacentral:rRNA from 1 species